AUCUAGGCGUGAUAUAGAUUUAAGUAAUAAGUUAUAAUUUAGCCGCACGGUUAAAGGAGUAAAAUUAAAAAAAAUGUUUAAAGGACUGAUUAUAUUUGGAUCUGGGGUAUAUACAGGUGUAUAUAUAGCACAAACAUACCAGGCUAUUCUUGCCAUAUUUUGUAAGAAAACAGCAGAGGAAUGUGAAAGAGUUCUGGAUAAAAAGAAAUGGUUUGUUUUUAAUUUUUUUUUAGUUUUUACUUUUUCAUGUACAUGAACCAGGCACAAUAUUCAUAGUCAUUUACAGUUUAUUGUUUGUUUAAUUUGAAUUAUUGUAUUGCUUUUUAGAUAGACAAGGUAGAAUCUCCACAGGUUCUAUUUGAAAAAGUUCAGGCAUUUAUCAAAGAGAAAAUGGCUGAAGUAAGUGGCAAAAAAGAAGAAUAAUGUUGAAGAGAUUACCUUAGGCCUCAAUUAUCAUUGUAAAUAACGGAACUAUGUAGUAUGAUUUUAUUUUGCAAUAAAUACAAAGCAAUUUA